AGAGUUUGAUCCUGGCUCAGAUUGAACGCUGGCGGCAGGCCUAACACAUGCAAGUCGAACGGUAACAGAAAGCAGCUUGCUGCUUUGCUGACGAGUGGCGGACGGGUGAGUAAUGUCUGGGAAACUGCCUGAUGGAGGGGGAUAACUACUGGAAACGGUAGCUAAUACCGCAUAACGUCGCAAGACCAAAGAGGGGGACCUUAGGGCCUCUUGCCAUCGGAUGUGCCCAGAUGGGAUUAGCUAGUAGGUGGGGUAAAGGCUCACCUAGGCGACGAUCCCUAGCUGGUCUGAGAGGAUGACCAGCCACACUGGAACUGAGACACGGUCCAGACUCCUACGGGAGGCAGCAGUGGGGAAUAUUGCACAAUGGGCGCAAGCCUGAUGCAGCCAUGCCGCGUGUAUGAAGAAGGCCUUCGGGUUGUAAAGUACUUUCAGCGGGGAGGAAGGGAGUAAAGUUAAUACCUUUGCUCAUUGACGUUACCCGCAGAAGAAGCACCGGCUAACUCCGUGCCAGCAGCCGUGGUAAUACGGAGGGUGCAAGCGUUAAUCGGAAUUACUGGGCGUAAAGCGCACGCAGGCGGUUUGUUAAGUCAGAUGUGAAAUCCCCGGGCUCAACCUGGGAACUGCAUCUGAUACUGGCAAGCUUGAGUCUCGUAGAGGGGGGUAGAAUUCCAGGUGUAGCGGUGAAAUGCGUAGAGAUCUGGAGGAAUACCGGUGGCGAAGGCGGCCCCCUGGACGAAGACUGACGCUCAGGUGCGAAAGCGUGGGGAGCAAACAGGAUUAGAUACCCUGGUAGUCCA
rnacentral:rRNA from 1 species